AAAUAAAUAAAUAAACAACAAAAUUAAAAAAUACAAAACAACCAUUCACAAACAUUGAACUUUAGAUAAUGAUACGCAUGCUAAAGUGUUUAUGGGUCAAGGAUACUGAGGUCUGCCACUCACUUAGAAAUGCAUCAAAAAGUUAGGACGGAAGGAUGUUUGGAUAGAUGGUCGGAUAGAUAAAGGAUAAGCAAAUACUACAGUGAAAUGUUAACAAAUGUAUAAUCUAGAGAUAGGGCAUAUGCAUGGCUGAUGUAUAAUUCUUUCAACUUUUCUGUAUGUUUUGAAAUUUUUCAUAGUAAAAUGUUGGGAAAAAGGAGUUAAAAAUGUGGUUAGGUGGGAAGAAAAAUGAAGAGAGAGUUUUAGGAUAUAUAGGAAACCAAAGGAAUAUAUGAGAAAAGUGAGGCAUAUUGAGAGGUCUAGGGCACAGUUUCCAAAUCUGCCUGUUCCCCAAAAUAUCCUGGAGAGCCUUUAAAAAAUAUGGAUACCUCAGUUCUACUCAUAGAAGUCCCGAUUAAGUAGAUCUGGGAUGAAGCUGGGAAUCAUUUUUAAAAGCUCACUAGUUGAUGAUCAUCCCUAUUGGUCGUUGGUCUAACAGGCCACACGACCUUGUUGCUUUUCUCUACAAGGAGUAUCAUGAAAGAUACUAUGUACAAGCAAAAACAAUCGAUAUUUUCAUUUUUAAUAAUCUCUCUUCCCCAGGCUAAACUUACACUUUAAGGACAGUGCAACACUGAGCAAUUAGUAGCAACAAAUUUCAGCUCAUUGUCACUCCAAGUGUGACAGAGUUGGGCUGUCAAAAUCUAGCCCUCCUCAUUCACUCACUCAAAGGAGUAGUGGUGAUGCCACUGUCAGUUAGGACUACUGGGUGAUGCUGAAGAGACUGUCAGAUGGUAGAUGAGAUGGGUCCCAGCGUGUCAGACCUUGAUCCUGCAGAGAGCUGGCAUGUGAGAGAGGUCAGGCUGUCUCCUCACUGCCCCAAUACUGCGUCAAGCUAACUCCCACCACUGUGUAGUUUUCCCCAGGCUGGGGUCCCACUCCACUCCUCCCCACCUAUCCCAAACCUUCACACUCUUCAAGGGCUCCCUUUUCAUUAAGAAUCCCCCAACUCCCACUGGGCAGAACGCCUAUUGCAUUGAUAACCAGCACAAUUCCUAGUCUGAAUAAUUCCUUUAAAAAAAACAUAGAAAUUGGCCAGGCACAGUGGCUCACACCUGUAAUUCCAGCACUUUGGGAAGCUGAGGCGGACGGAUAGCUUAAGGCCAGGAGUUCGAGACCAGCCUGGCCAACAUGGUGAAACCCCGUCUCUACUAAAAAUACAAAAAAAUUAGCCAGGUGUGGUGGCACGCACCUGUAAUCUCAGCUACUUGGGAGGCUGAGACAUGAGAACUGCUUGAACCCGAGAGGUGGAGGUUGCAGUGAACCGAGAUUGUGCCACUGCACUCCAGCCUAGGCAACAGAGUGAGACUCUGUCUCAAAAAAACAAAAACACUAAUUGUUAUUCUUUCACAUUCAUACUUCCUGUUCCUGCGCAAGGUGUGGGAGGUGUGGUGAACAUUUGUGAUUCAUUUUGGCUGCCCUGCAUCUGAACCCCUUCCUAUGUUUGUGAAAUUCCUUGCCUCAUGCAUGGGUGCCCACAUCCCACUAAAAACCAGAAACUUCCAGAUACUCUAUUUCCAGCUUCCCUUGCAGCUAGGAUGUGGGCAUAUGGCUCGGGACUCUGGCCCCAAACUUAGAGUUGACAACUAAUGAUGAAAAGAAACAGGGUUUGUAGAGAAUCUGUUCAAGUUUCAGCUGCAGCCAGAGCAGAGGCUCAGGCUGUGGUGUGCAGAGUCCAAUGCCAGGAUGCGGGUGGUGCAAACCCUGGAGUCCUGGAUCUUGCUGUGAUGACAAUGGGGUUAUUCCUUAUUCCUGUACUUAUUAUUCCUGUGGAGUUACCCAGUGGUGCUUCCUGCUUACAGCCUCUCAUGGUUUCUGCCUUUUUCUGAGCCUAGCUCCUCAGCCUUUCAGUUACACGUUUACUACUAAAUUUAUUUUAAUUUCAAGUCAGCUAAAGUUGCUUGCAACUGAGUACUCUAUGUCAAGUAGAUUUCAACUAUAGAAGUAUGGAAGAUACUGAAAAAUUGAAUAUUUAGGAUUCAAAGUAAGGCUCAGAAUCUGAGCCUUUGAGGCCAGGGGCUGUUGUGCAUACCUUUUGUAUCCCAGCAGAGAGGCUGGCCUGUAGUGAAUGCUUGGUAAAUGCUUGUUGAUUGAUUGAUUUUCACGAGCAUGAAUGAGCAUGAUCCUCAUGGCCCAGUCAUUCCCACUUCUUCCCAUGCUUGUGUUAUGUGCAUUUCCCAGAUACAGCAAGAGUCCCUUCAUUUUUGGUUGUUAGUGCAUUGUCUGAGGGCUAUUUCAGCCUUUUCUGAUUUCCUUUUGGACUUUGACUUAUGAGAAAAUUAUAUCCAGAGGAUUUAAGUUUUCUCCAGGACACAUUCAAAUACCUGCUCUUCUUUUAAACUGAGUGAUCCCAGGCCCCAGUCAGACCCUGCAAGAGGCUCAAAAAUCUAGGAGUCCAGAGGACAAAGGUCAGCUCAUUUCCAGCAAGUUCCUUGGUUAGGCAUGCCCCCCUCACCUUGAGUAGGUGAGAAAGGCCAUCCCAGUCACUGAUUCCCACACCAUUCCACUGGAAACUGGGAGGACUUUAGGGGCAGCUGUAGACAGAAGCCACACAUGAUGCCUCCAAGCAGGCCAACAGGGCAUUGCCAAAUAGGCUGUUUGUUGAGUAAGACUUGGCCAUGACCUUUGCCAUGGGAUAGCCUCUCCCCGUGACAUUUAUGAGGACCAGAUCCCCUCUGGGAGUUUACCAGCCACACCGGAAGCAUACCAAGGGCAGCUGACAUAACUCUAAUUCUAGAGAACAAAAGCCAAAAUUGCCCACAGAAGUUCUGUCUGGCCAUGUCAUUGUUAAAGGCCCUCAAGGUUAACUCCAUUCGCUUGCCAGUGUUGGCUCUUUCUUAGCAAAAACUCAUCUGUGCUGACGUCUGCCUUUCCUGAGUCAUGCCAAGGGUGUCUCUGCCCAGCCGAGAAUCUAUGAACAAUGAGCAUGAAUGAAACAGCUUCUUCUGCCUCCAGAAACCACUGGAGGAGCCAUGCCAUGUGGCUGGGUGAUAACUAAAGUGUCUGUCUCCUCUUCUUUUUCUUUUUGUUGAUACAGCCUGGACCCACGCCUUCAUCAAUCUACUGUCAGGGAUAGAUUGUGCAUUUUCUGUGUCCCAGUGGGUGCCCCCCCCCCAAAAUAGAGCAGACAAAGCCUGGCCUGCGAGGGUACUGGUUUAGUUCAACAAAUAUCCAUAGAAUGCCCACUUAGGCAAAAUGGCAUAGGGCAGAUUGCCAAAAUCAGGGUUGACUCGGCCUGGAGCCAUGAAGUGGGUCCAACAGGUCUCUGAACUGAGGCAGGAGGCCCCAGGAUCCCGAGGUGUGCUGUAAAGCCUUUGAUGACAGCAUCUUGUGCCUAACACCUGACCACAUCUGAGCCACUAGAGACAGUACCUGAUAAGGAUGCAGAUGCCUGGGCCCUACCUUCCAAAGUUCUGGCUCAGUAGGUCUGGGGGAAGACCAGUAAUCUUCAUUUUAACAAAGACCACUGACGGUUCUGAUGCAGGUGGUCCAAGGACCACACCUGGAGAAACUUCCACCUCUAGGAGCAUCUGGGGUAAAAACUUCACCCAAACUUCCUAAGGUCACAACAUAUCCCCCCCAACAGAGGAAGCAGUAACUUUUGGCCACAGCCCCUAGAGAGGGGAUUUGCCUGGCGUUUCUAUACUGUCCUCUGUCCAAGGACAAAGUGUGCCUUACCCCACAACUGCUUUGUGGUUAAAAGCUUCUAUUGAGGGAUAGUUUAUUUACUUCUAGCACUAUGAAGCAAUAUAGUGAGGUUUUUGUUUCCUUUGAAUCCCAGUCAUUUUAUGCUGCAGAAAAUCUAGAGUUUUUGCCACAGUGGAGGACUCUGCUUAAGGACUACCUAUCUGGGUCUGGUAAUAGCUACCCCAACCCAACGGUCCUGAACGAGUAAUAUGGUUCGACUGUUUCCCUCCCCACCUCCAAAUCUCAUCUUGAAUUGUAGUUCCCAUAAUCCCCACGUGUUGUGGGAGGGACCUGGUGGGAGGUAAUUGAAUCAUGGGGGCGGUUAGCCUCAUGUUGUUCUCCUGAUAGUGAGUUCUCACAAGAUCUGAUGGUUUUAUAAGGGGUUUUUCCUCCUUUUGCUUGGCACUUCUUGCUGCCACCAUGUGAAGAAGGACAUAUUUGCUUCCCCUUAUGCCAUGACUGUAAGUUUCCUGAGGCCUCCUGAGCCAUGUGGAACUGUGAGUCAAUUAAACCUCUUUCCUUUAGAGAUUACCCAGUCUCAGAUAUGUCUUUAUUAGCAGAGUGAGAAUGGGCUAAUACAAUGAGAUAGAACUUAAAUCCCCUGCAUGCUCAUCAGAGGAGGCUCCAUAGAAGAUCAUGGACCUUGAACAAGGUGCAAGUAAGCCUAGAUGCAAUGCAAUGGAUUAGGGAUUCCAGGCUUGAAAACCAGUGGGAAGGAAGGGGUCAGGUGGGAGUGGUCCUCAGUUCCUGUGUGGGCUCUGGCAUCAGGCAGCACACAGGAGUCUUCCCUGCUGGUGGGGAGAGAAAGAGGCAGUAGAAGGGGUCCCGAGCUGGAAGGAUCAGCAGCCACUGCAGACUACUGAUGGAGGCAGUGCCAGGGAGGAAGAGGGUCGUGCCUAGUGGUGUCCAGGCAUUGGCAUGCAGGAGGCAGUCCAGGCACUGGUACCCGGGAGAGUUAAAACUGGGGGAAGGGAAGACAGCAGGGGAUUCUCACAAGGAAUGUGGAGCAGAGGCCCAGGCAGGGGGCCAUCAAGGUGGAGAGGACUGAACCUGGAAAUGGAAGCUUUCCAAGUCACACAUUGAAGAGUAUCAGCAAGGUCUUAAGCCCUGGAACAGUGAGGGAUGGCAUCAGGACAAACUGAGGUCAGUGAGUGUGUUGGCAGCGGACCAGGCUCCGAACGGCACAAACUCCGUCUGGGAUGGGGAAUCUAGCAGAAGACCUAGGAAGAAUUUGAAGAGGGUUCAGAGGUGAAUUAGGGAUGCUUGUAGCUUUUGUGUGGGCAGUGCGUUACUGGGGUGUAGUCCUCAUUGAAGGCCCAAGAUUCUGCCUCUAAGGGUGUAACUCUGCUGAAUCCAGCACCUGAGAGGCUGUCCAGAGCAGGCAGGAGGUCAGCUGUCAGGCUGUGGGCCCAGUUUUAGAGUCAAAUUGAAUUUCCAGUGGGGAAGACCAAAGCUGAAGUCCAUCCCCCAGAGGAUGAGAGAAAGGAAGGCUGCAGCUCAGGCAGCUCAGGGAGUCUGAGGCAGCAAACGAGCUCUGGACCUUGAAGUGGGGAGAGGAAGUCCUUUCACCUCAUCACAGUGCUCACAUCACCUCAGAAACCAGGUGGGACACACAGCUGUGACAGGUGAGAGAUGAUUCCAUUGGUGCCUGGGAUACCAGAUUCAUGCUGGGAAGUAGGAUGGAUGUGGUGGUUUGCAAAAGGCUUUGUCUGCUAAAUUGAGGAUACUGGAUCAUACCCCAAGAGAAAGGGGAGCUCCAAUGGAAAAGCCACCUGCAUCAUGAUGCUGCCUGUCACUUGACUGAGCGUUCCUGCUGCCCAGAAGCUCCUGUUGUCCUCCCAACUGACGGGAUGCUCUUGGACAGUGAUGCCAGCUGGAAUUAAGACUGGGUUUCCAAGGCCACUGUGACCACCAUGAUUAAUGUGAGUAUCGCCAGGUCUUCUCCACACAGGCCCCCUCAGCAUGGUUGUCCCCAAAGCCCUGACCCCAGCUUUUCCUGGUUUUCUGCUUCCUUUAGCAAUCCCUACUGCUAGGGCUCCAACAUGCCUCAGCCAGAAAGCUGUCAUCUCUUUCCUGGGAACAUUCCUUAAGAAAGAACCAUCAUGGGGUUGGAUGAAACUAAACUUGCAAAGAAGGUGAUGUGUAACCAAGUUGGAGUGUGGAGUGUGGGGUCAAAGAUGAUGGCAUUCUGUGUGGAUCCGCAGUGGUAGGAAUGGAGGUGAGGAGGAAGAAAUGAAUCCAGGAGGCAGCGUGACAGAAAACACAGACUUUGGUGACGACAUGUGAGAAGCUGUAAACUGAUAAGAAGAAAAGACGUCUCCAGCACGUUUGGGUUAGUGUCAUCAACCCAUGGAUCCUGCCCACAGCAAGACUUGGCCCAGUCACAACCCCCUUUCUAGCAAUGUGGAGAUAAAUGUCUUCAACAGAAAGGGUUGGGAAUCCCAUGUGACAGCCGAGCUCUGUUCUGCCUUUGACAGAGUCUGAUGCGAAGUGGAUCAUCUCAGGGAUGUGCCUUGCUGGCUUCACCCACCUGGAGCCUCAGGGGAAGUCUCAGGUGGGAGAUGUUAAUUUGAGAGGCCUGGGUAUAAAAGUAAUCCCAAGAUGUCACAAGAUAGAAUACUUUCUCUGAGGCACAAACAGGGAGAAAAACAAGAACAGAACCCCUUAGCAGGACACUCAUAAUAAGAAGAAUUAGGAAAAGAAAAGGGAACCCGGGGUGACACAAAACUGGGGGAGUCUGUUACCACAAGGUAGAUGGCUACCUCCAGUUGGACAAAUUUCCAUGGACCACCAUGCAAUUUCUGGAGAUGCCGCCUUUGAUCCCCUCUUCUCCCUUUGCUCCUCCCUCAUCUCCACACUCAAAGUGCACAUUAUUCAGAUGUCCAGCACGCCCCUAAAUCAACUUGACUUCUCUUGUUCCUUGGCAGAUUCAAGGACCAGCCUUCAUUGGAUUUGGGGUGGAAGCUACAUGCUUGUGUCAAGGGUUGUAAUCCCAAGUCUGGUCCUGUUUUCUGCAAACAAUAUCAUUGUAAACACAUUGAAUGUGUCUGAAUGGGAUUCACAUAACCUAUUCAAAGGUUAAUAUCACAAGACUGAUACUGAGCUGGAAGCUCUGAAAUGUACUUGUGCUCAGGGAAGAUAUUUGCUAAUGUUUGGCUUUAAUUUCCCCUGGAACUUGUACACAUCAGUGAGGCCUGGGGAUAAUGAAUAACAGCAUGGACAAUAAAUUUUAAAACAAACAAAAUAAAAACUCAAAGAACAUUAAUGCAGACCAGUGCUGGGAUAUGAUGUGUGUUACAAGAGAGUAAUGAUUACUCUUGGUGAGCAGAUUCUAUUAUCUGCUUCUUAGGAGCAAUAGGUGGCUGCCUCUUGAUUGUAUUAGUCCUGGAGUUAUAAAAUCCUCAGUCCUUUACAAUGCAAAAGUGACACAUGGGGCGAGUAAGCAGGUAAGAGAAGGAGCAAUUGGAGGAAGAGAAAUGAGAUCUGUGGCAGGGGCUAUUGGCUUUCCACUAAAACCCAUUCUCUACUUCUUGCUGGGCAAGAACUAGGCAGUAUUUACCAGCCCCUCUUGCAUUUGGGGUGGCCACAAACGAAUUCUGGCCAGUGGAGUGAGGGGCUUCUCAGACAGCAGCCUGCCCCUUCCACACUCCUGUUCCCCUUGCAGUGGCUCAAAGCCCUUGGGUGAUGAUGGAGCCAUAGCUGGAAGAAGCCUGGGUCCCUGGGUCCCCCGUGGAGCCUCCACGCGGGAAGGUGGUCUAGAAAUACACUUCCAUAUUUCAGCCAGCAUGCCUUGGGAUCUUUUUUUAAUGGUGGUUCAGCCUACCCUAACUAAAGCUGGGCCCACUCAGCACGCCCCACACAGGGAUUCUGAAAUGGGAGCAGGGUCCACCAAAACUCUGCUUUUCAGAGAGCUCACACCCUAGGGGAGUAUAAAAGUGACGAGGACACUGGAGCUGGCAGGCAAGACCCAGGAUGCCAAAAUUAGGGCCCCUAAACACAGCAGGGAGGGUGAGCUAUCCUCUUGUGAGGUGGGAGGAGGGUCUCCGUGAGCAGGGCUCUUCUUGGGCCAAACCUGGAUCAUGAGGAGGAGGGAGAGAUGCUGAAUAUGACAUGUCAUUCAAAGUGCUGUCUGGAAAUUUGAGUUCGUUUCUUCAGUAGAGGCAGCACAGGUUAAUCAGACAAACCAGCCAUCAACAGGCUUCCUUUGAGGAGCUUGGUAAGAAUGGAAAACCCAGGGCUGAGGGGCUUACAGAGCUUACAGAGCAGCACAGUAUCAGGGGCCCAAGGCACCAGGAGCUCCUCUGGAAAUUGGCGGGAACAGCUGGAGCAAAGCCGAGGUGAUGGUACCCCUGGUGGCGGGACGGCAGCGACCCUCCAUGGUAUAAGGAGUGGUGAGACCCCAAGGGACAGUGUGCAAGGACUCUGAUGGCAGCAACACUCCUCUAGGAGCUGAUGAGAAAGGCCUGGAAUCCCAAGAUGCACCCCUGAGGUUCAACUCCUACCCUGAUCAUCUCCUCCAAGAUUCUGUGACCUGGGGAAGUCAACAGUACAUUUCAACACCUAUGAUGUCAGCAUGUGAAUGACAUUCCAAUGCUGCUCAUGGGGUCACCCCUGCAAAGGUGAACUCAGUGGAAAGACCUUGCCAAACCGGAAGGAAAACAGGAUACUUUUCUCCAAAAUACUCAUUCAAUAAAUAUUUGCUUAGGCAUUACAAAGACAAAUAAGACUUGCCCCUACCUGUUAGAGGUAUGUAUGUCGAGAAAAGGAAGGAGUGAUUCAAUAAGAGAAACAGCAUUCAGGGAAGAGAAAGAAGGAAGACAUAAAAAUUCAGGUCAUAUUAGAAUAAUAUAUAUAACAAUGAGUUUGGCUAUAUUUCAGAAUUUUCCCAAAAUAUUUCUUUCAAAUUUGAUUGACAUUCUAAACUAUUUAGCUUGAUAUAAAUGAGAUCUUUGUGUACCCUCAGCAGGAACUGCAUUUUAGCUGGUUUUAAAUCUCAACAAUCACUUUCCUGCCUUGGAGAAGGUAUGAACCAGGCUGUUUAUGUAGAAUCCAGGUGGGUUUGAGAGCAGCUUCAGCUGAAUGGAGAGUGACAGGGAGGCUGAGGAAGGGAGGGAGGGGACCCAUGGGCUGUCAUACCCGGGGACUUAGGAAGGCUCUUGCUCUUGCUGGAAGGGUUGCAAAUCCCUAAACCAAGUAAUCCCAUCCCUAAACCAAGUAAUCCCAUUAAAACAUGAAACAUCCAGAGUAAAAUUAAGUUUAGAAUACUAUUUGCAAAGCCAAACAUAGUCUUACCAUAGGAUCCAGGCAUCACACUCCUUGGUAUUUACCCAAAUGGGUUGGAAACUUCCAUAUAAAAAUCUGCACACAGGCCGGGUACGGUGGCUCACGCCUGUAAUCUCAGCACUUUGGGAGGCUGAGGCGGAUGGAUCACCUGAGGUCGGGAGUUCAAGACCAGCCUGACCAACAUGGAGAAACCCUAUCUCUGCUAAAAAUACAAAAUUAGCCAGGCGUGGUGGCACAUGCCUGUAAUACCAGCUACUCAAGGGGCUGAUGCAGGAGAAUUGCUUGAACCCAGGAGGCAGAGGUUGCGGUGAGCCGAGAUUGUGCCAUUGCACUCCAGCCUGGGCAACAAGAGUGAAACUCUGUCUCAUAAAAUAAAUAAAUAAAUAAAUAUAAACCUACACACAGGCCAGGCAGGGUGGCUCACCCUGUAAUCUCAGCACUUUGGGAGGCCGAGGCGGGUGGGGUGGAUCACGAGGUCAGGAGAUCAAGACCAACUUGGCCAAGACGGUGAAACCUCAUCUCUACUAAUAAUACAAAAAUUAGCUGGGCAUGGUGGCACAUGCCUGUAAUCCCAGCUACUCAGGAGGCUGAGACAGGAGAACCGCUUGAACCAGGGAGUCGGAAGUUGUGGUGAGCCGAGAUCACACCACUGCACUCCAGCCUGGUGACAGAGUGAGACUCUGUCUAAAAAAAAAACCUGCACACAAAUAUUCAUGGUAGCUUUAUUCAUACUUGCCAAAACCUGGAAGCAACCAAGAUGUCCUUCAAUAGGUGAAUGGGUAAAUAAACUGUGGUACAUCCAGACAAUGCAAUAUUAUUUGGUGAUUAAAAAAAAAGAAAUGAGUUAAAAUCUUGGAUUUCUUUUUUUUAAAUGAGUUAUAAAGCCACAGAAAGACCUUAAAUACAUAUUGUUAAGUGAAAGAAGCCAGCCUGCAAAGCUACAUCUAUACAUGACUGUAUGACAUUCUAGAAAAGGCAAAACUAUAGAGACAGUGAAAACAUCAGGGAUUGCCAGGGGUUAAGAGGGAAGGAAGGAUGAAAAGGCAGAGGACAGAGGAUUUUAAGGCCGGUGAAACAAUUCUAUAUCAUACCAGAAUGGUGGAUAUAUGGGCUGGGGCUCAGAAAACAAUACCCCCAAAUGAAUGCCUCAGAAGCAAAAGUUUCUCCUGCCCUCCCAUCCCUGACCUCAUUCUCCCCCAAGGUUAGCCAUAGAAACCAGAAGUCCUCUUUCCCAAGGUGGGUCAUAGAAACUUCCAAACCCCUUUUCCCCAAAGCCAGUCAUAAAACCUAAAAAUAUGACUCUAACUUCCACCCCCACCCCACCACCUUUCUGUGUAAAAAUGUGUCAUAAGGAAAUCAUCUAACCUGCCUUGUUUGGUUGUCGGUCGUAAGACCCCCAUUCGAGAGAGGGCCCUGCCCCGUACCCAGCAGGAAGCAAUGCUGCCCAGAGAGGCCACGAGGAAUCUAGACAGGGCUUGCUGGGGGGCCCCACUCACUCUAUGAGCAUUAGCUCAUUCCCUUUUUUGUCCAAUCACAUUUCUAAAUAUUUUGUUGCACCUAAGCUUAAAAGUGGGCAGAGUCCCCUGCAUCUCUGGGUCUUCGUUCUGAAGGCUCCCCUGUCAUGUAACACUAUGACCAAAUAGAUGUGUGUGCCUUUUCUCCUAUUCAUCUGCCUUUUGUCUGUUAAUUUUCAGUGAAACUUCAGAGGGUGAAGGGGAAGUUUUCCUUGGCCCCUACACGUGUCAUUACAAACCCAUAGAAUGUACAAUGCCAAGAGUGGACCUUAGUGCAAGCCAGGGACAUUAGUCAGUAAUAAUGUUCCACGCUGACGCACAAAUGAAAGUUAUUUUAUUUGUGUGAACAGGAGAGCUGACAUGGUCUGUAUUGAUAUCUCCUGGGCAGGGAGGUGGUGAGCACGGCCCCAGAAUUCUGAACUGCCAGGAGCCAGGCAGCUUUGCAUCCUGGAGCUUGGCCAAUUCAGCCGCCCAAGUUCUGGCCAUGGGUCUGCAGCCCCCUGGCCCUUGCCUGCAUAAGCAGGAGAUGAAUGAGAGGAAGCAGAACUCACACAGGAGGCAGGAGGAAGCCACCAGGAAGCUCACUGGCUCCAGGGGCAGCAGAUCUGGGAUGGGGUCCCAGUUCUCUCCUUCCUCAUUCAUGAAAUGGGGCAAUAACAGUACUUACUUCAUUGGAGGUUCUUGGAGGGAAUAAAAGAGAUAUUAGUUAAAGGCAUGGAGCACAGUCCCUGGCACACUGAAAAAGUUUCAUAAAUGUUACCAAUUAAUUGUUUGUAUUAUAUAAUGUCUUCCUGAUAGGUUUUUGGGAAGGAAUAAAUCAAAGGUGAGAAAAUAUAUACAAAAACCUGACUGAGCGAGAACAUAGCUUACACACAAGAAGUGGCAGCUUGGUGAGCACACUGCUAUGUCAUGUUGUGCCUAGUCAUGACAUAGCCAAGGACUGAUACAGGCGCUCCCAUAACCCAUGGAUGGAUUCCUGCUGGACUCUAUUCAUGAAGGUUCUGAUUCUAAUUUUUUUAAAUCCAUGGAUAAAACAGCUACCAGAAAAUCCCAUUUGGGUUUGCAUGUUGUUCUUUGGCUUCGGUGGACAGCAAUCAUAUCAGUUGCAUUUCCCGAGCUAGAGCUCUGAGGCUUAGUCAUCCCCCUCCCUGGCUGGCUUCCAUGCUGUCUGCAGUGGGAGCAUCUUUUAUGAGAUGACAGGAGGGGACUUCAUGGAUGUGCAGCCUGGGCUGCUGGUACUGCCGGGGCUGCUGGUACUGCUGGGACUGCAGGAGAGGGAUGGUUUCUAUUAAUCCUCACAAUGGGAGGGUCCAGUGGGCUGUCACAGCACAGGCAGGGAAUCACAGGCCUCCCUGGGUGACCAGCUGUCCUGGCUGCUACCAGAUUCGGACUCCAGCAGGCUUUCCCUGGGGGCAGAGAUGACCUUGAUCUCUGGGCAGCUAGGCUUCAUGUCCUUGAUAUUUGUGGCCCUGCAUUGUUGGGGCACAGGAUGCAGAGCUGGGGAUGACUGAGCUUAAACUCCUGCUGCUAUGGAGGGCUGCCUCCUUGCCCUGAAUGCCCUGGGAGCCCUUUUAAAAACACAGGUCCAAGGAGUGAUAACAUGAGGGGCAGCACCUCUGGCCCCUGAGAGAGAAACUUGUCCAGUGAUAUGUGCACAAGCAACAUCUCCAGGCAUUCCUUCCAGACAAGGCAAGAGGCCCCCCAGGUGUGAUAUGUUAGCUACACAUGGGCUUGGUCUGUACUGCAAAUGUGUACUCAGUGAUGGGGCCAUUAGAUAUUUGGUUUCUACAUUGCUGCGAUGAAAAUUUACAAAGAACGUUCAUGGGGAAACCAGCUCCCAUCCAUGGGCAGCAGAGGAAUGUUGUCCAAGACUUACAUGGACAGGUAAGACUAAGGUCUCAUCCCAUACUCAGCAGUUCUGUGACCUUUUACAGAACAUAGGGAGGCAAGAAGGGAAAUGAGCCUUAGUUAGCCUCAGGGAGAACCAAGCCAGGUCUGUUUAGGGUCACCACCUUCACUGAACUGCCCUCCACUGGAGGCUAGGAACUGCAGGACAUGAGUUCAACAUCAAAAUAGUAAAAAUAGUGGCAAAUGUUUAGCAGUGUUUGCAACAUAUCAGGUGUCACAGCAACCUCUGCAGGAGAGGUGAGCAGGGCUAAUAUUUAGCAGGUGCACCCUUGUACUGGCUGCCUGCCAUUUAAUAGGUUAGUGCCUCAGCUGGUUAUUGAAUAUUUUCAACAUCGGCCCUGGGUACUAAGAUUAGUUCCCAUUUUACUGAUUAGGAAAUCGAGGUUAAGAGAGGGUAGGCGAUUUGCCUGAGAUCACACAGCCUCGUGUGUGGCAGAGCCUUAGAUUCCAAGCCAGGCUGUCCGAUGCCAGACCUUCACAGCUAUCCUAUGCUUCCACGGCACCCCGGACUUCCCCUUGGAGCACUUGCCAGUGAAACAAACAUGCCCUGGAGAAAUGCCUGGGUUAUGUGAAGUUGGCAGUUCCCAAGGGCUUUAGGCUUGAAGCUGUGGGUCAUACCCCUUCGGAAACUUGGUCCCCAAGAGAAAUGUAUGCUUCUGAAAACCACAGGUGCAUGAAUCGUGUUUAGUAAAUGACUACUAAACUGAAAUCAGGACUUGUCUAUAUCUUGGCUUCUCAAACUUGAAUAUGCUUAUCAUCUGGAUAGCAAAAGCAUUCCUACACGUUGAGGCCUGCCAGCGUGGGUGUCACCCAGGAGCCACUCGGAAAGGCUCAUCGGAAACCACCCCGGACUGACUGAGGCAGAAUCUCUGGGGGCAGGACCCAGGCCUCAGCAUAAAAACUCCAGGUGACGGAAGAGCUCCCACCUAACAGGUGUGUUGGCAUUGUUGUAGGUGACUGACGUAGUUUCCCAUCUCACAACUCUACCUCCAUGAAGAAAAGUCAUGGAAAAUUGAGACUUUGGGCUGAGUGUGGCUCAUCCCUGUAAUCUUAGUGCUUUGGGAGGCUGAGGUAGGAGGAUCGCUUGAGGCCAGGAAUUUGAGGCCAGCCUGAGCAACAUAGUGUCUCUUCAAAAAACUAAGUUUAUUCUUUCCUCUUUUUUAGUUUUUAUUUUACACGGCUCACUGUGGCUUUGACCUCCCAUGCUGAAGCGAUCCUCCUAUCUCAACCUCUCAAGUAGCUGGAAGCACAGGCAUGCACCACCACACCUGGCUAAUUUUUUUCUUCCUUUUUUAAAGAGACAGUCUUGCCAUGUUGCCCAGGCCCUGUUGACCAGGAAAAAAAAAAGUUUUUUUUCUUUUUUAAAGAAAGAAAAUAAAAGAGACUGAGAAACCACAGAAAUAAAGAAGCGCUGAUGACAAUGCCUGCUUGCUGAUGGUUACGAUGAUCAUAGCAGUGUGCAUUUUGUAUGCAUGAAGCCUGCGACUAAAUAAACGUGUGGGGAAAUAUUUGUAAGGAAAUAAGCUAUUAAUAAAAUAAGCUAAAAUCACA